UUACCCCCCACUUUGAAAAGCUCUAUCCUUAGAGCUGGCUGGUAACAUAGGAUCCCACUGAAACAGGUGCACCAGACGAUCAAACUCCUGUUGAGAAAGCCAGGUAUCUGCAUCCCCCCCAGUGUUCAUCCAGCGAACCAGAUAAUGCUUAAUCGUACGUCGACGCAGCUGACGAGUCUCCACAUCGAUCACCUUAUCUGGCACAACCAGAUGCUGGUCCCCCAACGAUCGGACUGGAACUUCCACUGUCGGCAUGGGAGUAGGACCAUAAUGCAACUUGAGCUCAGAAACGUGGAACACAUCAUGGAGCUUGCACCCUUGAGGAAGAGCCAGCCGAAAUGCCACCUCAUUAAUCCUUUCAAUCACCUGAAAAGGACCGAAGUAGCGUUGAGUCAGCUUGGAUCGAGAGCCCGCUCGACGGCCUAGAGUGUGACGAUGGGGGCGGAACUUGAUGUACACCAGGUCGCCAAUAGCGAAUGUUCGAAAACUCCGAUGCUUGUCAGCUUGAAGUUUCAUGGUUGCACGAGCUGCCUCCAACCUGCUAUGAACUUGUUGAUGCAACUCCCGAAUGGUCUCUAGAUGUCCAGAAACUGUCACCUCUGGGACCGGAAGAGCAGGAGCUGGCCAACUUAGGAUUCGACGCCCAUAGAGAAUCUCCAAAGGAGCAAACCCUGUAGCAGAAUGACAGGCCGAAUUAUAUGCGAAUUCAAGCCAGUGCAGCCAUGAUGUAGGACGAUCCAGUGUGUAACCCCUGAGAAAUACCUCCAUUGUCUAGUUGGUUCGUUCUGUCUGCCCAUCCGAUUGGGGAUGAUAUGCUGAACUGAAACUGAGCUUGGUCCCAAGAGCUGAAAAAAGGUGACGCCAGAAUGAGCUGAGGAACUUCGGAUCCCGGUCAGAAACAAUCUCCCGAGGCAGACCAUGGAGGCAAAUCACUUCUCGAGAAAACAACUCGGCUAUCCCUGCUGCAGACACUGAACUUGUCGUAGGCAGAAACCGAGCUGUCUUGCUGAAACGGUCAACCACCACCAUUAUCAUGUCUUUUCCUUGGCAACGAGGCAGACCCCCCACAAAGUCCAUGGAAAUGCUAGUAAAGGGACCAUUUGCAACUGGUAACGGCUGGAGAAGACCUGGAGAAGCCACUGUCUCUGUCUUUACCACUUGACAUACCGGACAUUCUUGAAUCCACGCCUUCACUUCUCGCUGCAUGCCUUUCCAAACAAAGCGAAGCUUGAUGGCCGCCAAUGUUGCUGCCACCCCGGGAUGUCCAGCAAGAAUUCCCUGAUGACACUCACGGAAAAUUUCUUGCCGCAGUGGAUGCUUGUUGUUGAGAAACACUCGUCCCUUUGACCAGAGAAUGCCAUCAAUGAGGACCAGCUUGGGAUGUUGCUCCCCAUUCUGAAGCCGCUCUAGAAUCUGUUGAAGGGCCACAUCUUGUGCGUACCCCUCCCGAAUCUGCUCUACGUACUCCGGCUGUGUCGCGCAUGUGACUUCGGGUAUCAAAAGUUACCUGUCGACUAGUCCUUACGGACACUCUUACCUUACUGCCACGAUGGCAGGAAGUCGGUAUUGCUGGACCCUUUAUUAGUCCCUCUUGUGCUAGUGGAGUUAACUGGGCAUUUCGAGUGUACUUAGACCAGACGAGCAUAAGGACGGAAUUCCUACGUGUUAUUAGCUAAGCAUACUUAGCCCGGUAAGGAGUUCCCGUCUCGUUAUGUCUUGCACUGGCUAGUGACAAGAACCCUCGCGUAUUGAGAUUGGUCCCUCAAUAUCGCUACAUGAUAGCUUACCGUGUCUGCCAAACACCCUCGCUAUCAUGCCCUUUGUGUUAGUCUCAUUUCGGUCCCAAAUGCUAAUUAUGGAAAGUGUCCAGAUUUGCUCAUUUGGCAUAUCUACGGAAUGUAGAGGUUGGCCUAAACACAAUGGUGUUCGUCCCGUGUCCAAAUUCACAAUCUAGGGACAUUCCAUAUUUAGUAAGUUUCGAGCUUGUCCCAGAGACUAACUCCUGAUACUAAGGGAGGCUUGGGGUGAAAGCCCAAAGCGUGUGUUCCUCAAGGGGGGGGGGGCUAUGGGGGGUUCCAAAUGUAUAGUAGGGAUAGUGGGUAGGUCGGGCAUGGCCGACCAACCUGAGGCAUAGUCUAGCUCCCGCUUGCGUGCCUGUCCUUGUUCUGCGUCCGGCUUGGGUCUAAGCCCAAGUUCCAUUCCAUGCUAGCUGGUGGAGUACCCAUAUCCUCACGUUAGGCCACCGGUAUGCCGAAAUAGUGCCAGACUCUGUUUGGCUCCGUUUUGUGUGCUGGUCCUGGCAUUGGGAUGCUGGUUACUCUAGGACUGUUCCAAGUUGCUCCGGGCUCCUGUCCCUUUGCUCCUUGGGUUGUAUGCUCGGGAGUUACUCUAUGGUCCGGUUCCAUCACUCCUUGGCUCCACGCUUGGGAGUUUGGCACCGUUCCUUCGUUCAGUGGCCCAAGGCCCUGAACCUCGGGUUCUUAUGGACACGUGGCAUGGACAUGUGGCAUGUGACACGUGGCAUCUGUCACAUGGCACAAAGAGGGUUUAGGUUCUGCUUCGUGGUGUUAUCCUAUAGUAAAUCACCAUAGGAUAAAGGGUCAAAACCACGUGCGCUACAUUUGGUAUAAGAGAAAGAGUCUCAGCGAGUACUAUUCAAUGAGAUGGGGCAACUAGUCUUGUUGCAUACGCAGAGAUGAAAAUGAUGAUCCGAGUGGGUACACGUUUGGGUGCAAAGGCUUUGCAAUUGGUUCCUUGGAUUUGGAUAUUGUUACCUUAUUGUACCUUAUGAUGUGAGCUUGCGCUUGGGCUUAUAGGAUGGAUUUGAGUUGUUCCGGUAGCACGAGUUUAAGCUUGAGCUCGUGAGUGAGGCACAUUAGCAACUCGAGGUUACACUUUGAGUUGGCAGGAUUAAUGUUAGCCUAUCGGUGGUUCCAUGAGUUGUUCCAUGUACCGUGGGUGAAAGCAAACCUCCCUGGGUUUGCUAUGAGUGGCAAAUAGGCUGGUCCGUAGCUGUUUAGCACGGCACUAGUGGAUCCUUCCUAGGCAUGAUUAUAGACUGAUUAUAGAUCAAUCAAGACUUUAAGGGAUUAGUCUAUUGGUUCAAAUAGUCAUGGCCGUGCUCUCUUAUAAACUUUUCUUCGAUUGAACUGAAGGCAGUGCGAAAGCAAGUUUGAGGUUUGGUCAAAGAUGAGACCGAAAAGAGAGUCAUCGGGGACGGAGGAUCAAAUACGUAAAUCAUUUUCUCUUCUUGGAGAGAUGAUUUGCAACGAGGUGUUAACUCAUUGCUUGUGUUCACAUUAUGCAAUCAAGAGUCCCUACCUUGAUGCAUAUUGGAGAUGAUGGUCUUACAAAUGGUGAGUUGUGGGAUGGAUAGCGGUGAAACGUUAUACCAUUUUGUCUAAGCUUGCUAUUGGAAGACUUGGGUUGCAAUGCUCAAUUCUUUUUCCGGAGAACCUUGCUAUUGCUCUUUGAGUAGCUUGGUGUUGGAUUAGUGUUGAGUUUGGUCGGAAAGAGAGUGGCAUGAGCUUGUCCGUGUUGUGAACAAAAGUUAGUGGUGUUGGUGUUGUAAAUCUCUAUCAAUGGGGUGUGGCAUUUAUGUUGCAUUUUGUCGAAUCGAGUUAGCACUUGAUAUUCACAUAAACCUUUGCAAUAGUGACAUGGGCAUUGUUCAUAGUGUUGCUUGAUUGAUGAUCAAGUCAUUGUGAUUUAUAUCAUAUCCAUGUGAUAAUGAGCAAUAUGUUUACGAAGUUGCUUGGUUAAAUGAUGAUCAACCCCAAAGUGGUUGAUGGAGAAGCUAGUCUACUUGCAUGAAGUAGCAUUGUAGUAGCUUUAACUAGAUUCUCGAAGAUGGUCCAUUAUGCUAAGCUUAAGUUGGUACCAAGUUUGCCCACUAAAGUGUUGGACAAGGGUUAUAACAUUCAUUUAUUAUAGCUCGUCGGUUGAUCCAUUAGCACUUGGAGUAGAUUAUUGGAUGGAGAAGGUGUGUAGUUGGGGCAUUGACAUCACUAGCACUUGUGUUAGUGGAAGUGGCAUUGUUGAUUCGAGUGAUGAGGGAUUUUCCUUAGAGCUUGAUUUUCCAUGUCAUUUUUCUGGUUAGUGUUUUAGCUUCACAUUGGAUCUUGAAGGUGAUUGAAGAAAAGUGUUAGUGCAAUGUGGAUAUCCGAAGAUGUGGUCUUCGUGAUCAAGCCUUGGAUGUUCAUUUUGCACUUUGCGGAUGUCGAAUGUCAAAAUGGGCAAAGAUGUUCGAGGCUUAAGCAUAUUGUUGGACAUGAGAAUUUGUGUUGAGGUGAACCUAUGUGAAGUUGUUUGUAGGAGGAAGUUGGUUGAGUCUUGAAAGUUUGCAAUCCUGGACUAAGAGUCAUUCUUUCUCUAGGAUGGAAAAUUUUCCACAAAUUUUCUUAGACUUUUCCAAUGGCUGAUCUGUUGGUCACUUUGCUCGAAAACCAUUCCAUUUUCGAAAACCAGUACAAACUAGUGAAGGGGUUGGAGUUGACUUCGGUUGGCUUAGAUCUUAGUAGGUAGUUUGUAUGAUGCGACCCGAAAGGGAUGCUAACUUUUGGGGCUAAAGCAAUUGAGUUGGAUAGAGUCUGGAGUUGGUGUAGAAAAGUGGCCGUAGCACUUUUCUAGAAAGGUGACCCUUGUGCCUUUUUUUUUCUAGCGUUGUGCUUGGUGGCAGUUUGCACCUUGGAUUAUGUUAGACUCUAUGAGAGUAGUGAGCUCUCACUGAUCUUGUCUUGGUCUUGGUGGCUCUCCACCUUGGCUGAGGAUGGUGAUGUCCAACUUAGUUGUUUGAGGUUGAGAUGUUGGUACCCGUACUAUAGCUUUGUCUAUAAGGAGGUUGUGUACCGAUAUGAGUUCAUCUCAUGGUCUUCACUUUCGUUUCGGCUGAGUGUUGAUCAUGCAUAGUUAGCCUCUUCAAAGCAUGCUCAGAGCUAGUGGCUAAAUGUUUUAGUAAGCUUAUUGCGGUUAAGUUGGAUUUGAGUGGUCAUUUAGUUUGUGCUUGUCUAUGAACUUUUAUCUCGUACCUGGGGUAUCACGUUCAUAUUGGGCAAGUAUAUAACUUGAUGACAAGAGUUGGUGUUUGGGUCUUGUGAAGGCAAGUUGAGGAGUGAUUGUUAGUUGCUUUGUGACUAGUGAUUACUUGUAGACUUCGUCAAGGACCGUUGACACUUGCUUUGCUCGAUGAUGAUUUAGCAGUGAUGGGCUUGCUUUACCGGAUGGUGUUGCGGAGGAUCGUGUCGUUAGACUUACAUGAGUUUUUCAUGUUGGCAUGUUGACUCUACCUCUGUUGAUAUCAUUUGGUUACAUUUAGUCCAUAGUGUUGGAUUUCAUUGAGUCUUGGACGUGGUGAAUCACUCUUUGAUGAUGUGUUAUCUAUAACUGAGUAUUGUUGGAGGAUUGGUCUUGGAUACUGAUUAAGGUAUCUUCGACCUUGGUUAGCUUGGUUGCUAGAGAGCUUUGGGUGGUGAUUCACUUGUGCUUUCUUCUAGCUUUGUUCUAGUGUUGAUAGCAUUGAAGUGAUACCUUGUCGUUGACCUUGUUGAUAUUGAGAUCUGAGUGAAUGAGAUAUCCUUCCAGGAUUGAUAUUGAGUUUCAUUAGUCUUGAUGAAUAUAGUGUUGAUGAUUUGGCUAUAGCUUUGUGUUGUUGGCCUUCAUGCAUUUGCUAAUUAGCAACUGUGUUGACGUUCAAACAAACUGCGUGGCAAGUUGAGUUAGUUGUGUUCUAGACGAGAUUAUUUAGUAGAGGGUUGAGCUUUAGCUUUUCCUUGAAAAGUGAUUUAGUCGUGGACUAUGCUAACUUUACGAGAUGAUGUGUUAGUGAUUGAUAUUGACGUGAUUGAAUCCUUGUUGGGUUUGAAUUGAGAUAUAUCAAUCAUUGAUGAUUCGUCUUGCACUUGUUACGAAGUGAGUUACGUCUUUUUCUAGAUGGAUUCAUGGAGGAUCGUUUGAUGAUCAUUUGUUAAGCAUAGCUUCAUUGUGCUUAGCUUUUGGAUUGAUGCAGAAAUGCUCUUCAUUAGCUUUGGCAUUAUGAAGUUUGGCUUAUGGAUGUGUUGAAGAAGACAUUGUGGGUUGCACCAUGAUUUCUUCUUUAGCAUUGAAGUUAGCUUCUAUGAGACUCGUGAUCAUUAUUAAGCAAGACUUGGCUAUAGGCUUCUUCGAGCUUUGGUUCUUUGAGUUUUAUGCUCAUUAUUCCAUUUGUUAGAAGUUGUUGGGGAAGGCAUUUUUGGCUCAUUAGCUUCGAUGUUGAAGUUAGUAUUUGCAUCUAACAAUCAUUGGUGAUGAUUGACUAUCAUCUAGGAUAAUUGAUUAUCCAUGUCAAAAAGAUUUUGCUUGAUUAUUGUUGAUAUAGAAUGAUUUGCCAUUCUUCGAGGUGGUGGAUUCCUUCUUCGACAAUGAUUAUGCAUCUCUUCAUUGAUGGGAUAAUUGAUGAUAUUUCAUGAUAAUUAAUUGUUCUCUUUGAUAGCUUGUGGCUUUUCGCAAUACCACAUGUUCUUUGUGGUUUGCUCUGGUUUGGUCUCUUGGGUUUGAGACAUCAGUAGGAUGUUGCUAACACUUGCUUAGGCAACUUGAGUUCCUUGGUGUUAUUGGCUGGGAUCUAUUCGGAUUGGCUAGUGCAAUGGUUAAUAUGAACAAGCAAUUGUUUGCUUUGCAACAUUCAUUUUGUUCUGUUGAUUAUUGCUCGAGUUAGUUCUCAUAGAUUAGGAUGUUAUUUCCUUCGGGUGAUACAUUCGCGAGCAUUGUGCUUGUUAGUCAAUGAUACUUUGUGUUCUUUAAGUUGUGUUUUGUGAGUUGUUUGGCAUGCUAUCUGCCAUUUUUGGUAGUUAAGUUUCCUCAUUGAGUUUUCUUGAUGAUCUACUUGCUAUUGAAUUUUGUUGGAUGGUUAAUCCUAUGUUUCCCGAACUGAUGAUCUUGGUGGUUCCUACACUAUAAAUACUAGUUUAUCGGAUGAUAACUUAUGUGGAAUACUUUUGUGUUCUACUCUCAGAUAUAAUCACUAGUAAUUAAGCUUCUCAGAUAUCAUUGUCUCUGACUUUGAUAUUGUCCAUCCAUUGAUCUUUGAGUUUGGGCCAGUAUAGGCAGACUGGCUUCGGCACUUCGUGUGCAUGGUGAAAUCUCUAGUCAUGGGGUAGCUACUGUCAACUGGUCACAUAACCCGCCUCUCUGUCGAUGUUCCUUAUUCUGUGAAAGGGCGUGACCGUGUAAACAACUCUACACUGCCUGUUUACAGUAGUCUAUCUAAACCUUACCGACGGGUUUGGUUUCUUUGCUCAGGAGGGUUGGGGCCUCUGGCUUCUCUGUCUAUGUUCCUACGGGCAGGGCAUAUCACACUUUUGUAGCUGGGUGACACCUAGAGCAGCAAGGGUGGCUGACUCCGUUGGUCAUUUCCUUGUCGGUGACGGCCGAAAGGUGUCUGAGCUGGUAGCGCAUCUGCGUUAGACAAAGAGGUUCCCCCUAACUCAUUUAAGUUGGUGCAUUUCUCACAUAGUGUGAGUACCGUGAACUUUUUCUGGAGUUGUUUCCUUGGUGGUAUUCUAGACUCGAGUAUGCAUCGACGAGGACGUCGAUCUUCCCAAGGGGGGGAGAGUGUCGCGCAUGUGACUUCGGGUAUCGAAAGUUACCUGUCGACUAAUCCUUAUGGACACUCUUACCUUACUGCCACGAUGGCAGGAGGUCGGUAUUGCUGGACCCUUUAUUAGUCCCUCUUGUGCUAGUGGAGUUAACUGGGCAUUUCGAGUGUACUUAGACCGGAUGAGCAUAAGGACGGAAUUCCUACGUGUUAUUAGCUAAGCAUACUUAGCCCGGUAAGGAGUUCCCGUCUCGUUAUGUCUUGCACUGGCUAGUGACAAGAACCCUCGCGUAUUGAGAUUGGUCCCUCAAUAUCGCUACAUGAUAGCUUACCGUGUCUGCCAAACACCCUCGCUAUCAUGCCCUUUGUGUUAGUCUCAUUUCGGUCCCAAAUGCUAAUUAUGGAAAGUGUCCAGAUUUGCUCAUUUGGCAUAUCUAUGGAAUGUAGAGGUUGGCCUAAACACAAUGGUGUUCGUCCCGUGUCCAAAUUCACAAUCUAGGGACAUUCCAUAUUUAGUAAGUUUCGAGCUUGUCCCAGAGACUAACUCCUGAUACUAAGGGAGGCUUGGGGUGAAAGCCCAAAGCGUGUGUUCCUCAAGGGGGGGGGGCUAUGGGGGGUUCCAAAUGUAUAGUAGGGAUAGUGGGUAGGUCGGGCAUGGCCGACCAACCUGAGGCAUAGUCUAGCUCCCACUUGCGUGCCUAUCCUUGUUCUGCGUCCGGCUUGGGUCUAAGCCCAAGUUCCAUUCCAUGCUAGCUGGUGGAGUACCCAUAUCCUCACGUUAGGCCACCGGUAUGCCGAAAUAGCGCCAGACUCCGUUUGGCUCCGUUUUGUGUGCUGGUCCUGGCAUUGGGAUGCUGGUUACUCUAGGACUGUUCCAAGUUGCUCCAGGCUCCUGUCCCUUCGCUCCUUGGGUUGUAUGCUCGGGAGUUACUCUAUGGUCCGGUUCCAUCACUCCUUGGCUCCACGCUUGGGAGUUUGGCACCGUUCCUUCGUUCAGUGGCCCAAGGCCCUGAACCUCGGGUUCUUAUGGACACGUGGCAUGGACACGUGGCAUGUGACACGUGGCAUCUGUCACGUGGCACAAAGAGGGUUUAGGUUCUGCUUCGUGGUGUUAUCCUAUAGUAAAUCACCAUAGGAUAAAGGGUCAAAACCACGUGCGCUACAGGCUGCAGGCGAGAAAUCCCAUAGAGAGCUAAGUCCUCGGUGCGUGCAAACUUCCGUGAAAGAGCAUCUGGAAGUACAUUGGAAGCACCUGGUCGAUACUCGAUAGUGAAGUCAAAGGCUUGAAGUUCUUCCACCCAACGCAUCUGCUUCUUGUUGAGGUGGGGUUGAGUGAGCAAAAACCGAAUGCUCACAUGAUCAGUGCGAAGCCGAAAAUGACGGAAAGCCAAAUAAUGCUUCCAUC
rnacentral:lncRNA from 1 species